rnacentral:rRNA from 1 species
UAGGGAAUCUUCGGCAAUGGACGAAAGUCUGACCGAGCAACGCCGCGUGAGUGAAGAAGGUUUUCGGAUCGUAAAACUCUGUUGUUAGAGAAGAACAAGGACGUUAGUAACUGAACGUCCCCUGACGGUAUCUAACCAGAAAGCCACGGCUAACUACGUGCCAGCAGCCGCGGUAAUACGUAGGUGGCAAGCGUUGUCCGGAUUUAUUGGGCGUAAAGCGAGCGCAGGCGGUUUCUUAAGUCUGAUGUGAAAGCCCCCGGCUCAACCGGGGAGGGUCAUUGGAAACUGGGAGACGUGAGUGCAGAAGAAGAGGGUGGAAUUCCAUGUGUAGCGGUGAAAUGCGUAGAGAGCUGGAGGAAUACCGGUGGCGAAGGCGGCCCCCUGGACAAAGACUGACGCUCAGGUGCGAAAGCGUGGGGAGCAAACAGG